GUUAGGUGAGGAAACUGAGGCUCGCCAGCGAGCUUAGCAAUGCAUCUUGGGGGACAUGGGAUCUAGGGCGGGAUUCCUGUCUUCUUGGGAACUUCUAUUUCUCCAUCUGUAAAAUGUGCCAACGUAUUGGCACUGUACCUGAUUUAUGCUGCGUUUAUAGACCAGGCUGAUGCUACUUAUGCUCCACUCUCCCUUUACAAAACGAGGAACCCCGUGGGGGAAAGCAUGACUAACUUGCUAAUAUCGCACAGCUAAGAAGGGUGGGCCUUGAACUCCUAGACUGAGGAGAAUCUCCUACCUCAGCUUUGCAAGUACCCAAGACCUCAGGUGCACAGCACCUGAACCACAUCAUGCCUAGCCUCGUGGGAACUACUGUAAAGUAAAUUCCAGAGUCCUGUCUUUG